rnacentral:rRNA from 1 species
UCGCCAGACUCCUACGGGAGGCAGCAGUGAGGAAUAUUGGUCAAUGGCCGAGAGGCUGAACCAGCCAAGUCGCGUGAGGGAUGACGGCCCUACGGGUUGUAAACCUCUUUUGUCGGGGAACAAAGGCGCCCACGGGUGGGCGGAUGAGUGUACCCGAAGAAAAAGCAUCGGCUAACUCCGUGCCAGCAGCCGCGGUAAUACGGAGGAUGCGAGCGUUAUCCGGAUUUAUUGGGUUUAAAGGGUGCGCAGGCGGAGGUGCAAGUCAGUGGUCAAAUUGCGGGGCUCAACCCCGUACUGCCGUUGAAACUGCAUCCCUUGAGUGCGCGAGAAGUAUGCGGAAUGCGUGGUGUAGCGGUGAAAUGCAUAGAUAUCACGCAGAACUCCGAUUGCGAAGGCAGCAUACCGGCGCGCAACUGACGCUCAUGCACGAAAGCGUGGGUAUCGAACAGGAUUAGAUACCCUAGUA